rnacentral:tRNA from 1 species
GCGUACUUAGCUCAAUGGUUAGAGAAUCACUCAUGGAUGUUGAUUUUGUGGGUUUGAGUCCCACAGUACACA